rnacentral:rRNA from 1 species
CGGCAGGCCUAACACAUGCAAGUCGAGCGGAUGACAGGAGCUUGCUCCUGAAUUCAGCGGCGGACGGGUGAGUAAUGCCUAGGAAUCUGCCUGGUAGUGGGGGACAACGUUUCGAAAGGAACGCUAAUACCGCAUACGUCCUACGGGAGAAAGCAGGGGACCUUCGGGCCUUGCGCUAUCAGAUGAGCCUAGGUCGGAUUAGCUAGUUGGUGAGGUAAUGGCUCACCAAGGCGACGAUCCGUAACUGGUCUGAGAGGAUGAUCAGUCACACUGGAACUGAGACACGGUCCAGACUCCUACGGGAGGCAGCAGUGGGGAAUAUUGGACAAUGGGCGAAAGCCUGAUCCAGCCAUGCCGCGUGUGUGAAGAAGGUCUUCGGAUUGUAAAGCACUUUAAGUUGGGAGGAAGGGCAUUAACCUAAUACGUUAGUGUUUUGACGUUACCGACAGAAUAAGCACCGGCUAACUCUGUGCCAGCAGCCGCGGUAAUACAGAGGGUGCAAGCGUUAAUCGGAAUUACUGGGCGUAAAGCGCGCGUANGUGGUUCGUUAAGUUGGAUGUGAAAGCCCCGGGCUCACCCUGGGAACUGCAUUCAAAACUGACGAGCUAGA